rnacentral:rRNA from 1 species
GACAGAGGGUGCAAACGUUGCUCGGAAUCACUGGGCGUAAAGGGCGUGUAGGCGGGAAGGAAAGUCAGAUGUGAAAUCCCCAGGCUCAACCUGGGAACUGCAUUUGAAACUCCCUUUCUUGAGUACCGGAGAGGAAAGUGGAAUUCCUGGUGUAGAGGUGAAAUUCGUAGAUAUCAGGAGGAACACCAGUGGCGGAAGGCGGCUUUCUGGACGGUAACUGACGCUGAGACGCGGAAAGCGUGGGGAGCGAACAGG